rnacentral:rRNA from 1 species
AUUGAACGCUGGCGGCAUGCCUAAUACAUGCAAGUCGAGCGCAGCGGCGGACGGGGGAGUAAUGCCUAGGAAUCUACCUGGUAGUGGGGGAUAACUUAGGGAGACGGGCCCUAAUACCGCAUGCUAUCAGAUGACCCUAGGUCGAAUUAGCUAGUUGGUGGGGUAAAGGAUUACCAAGGCGACGAUCCGUAACUGGUCUGAGAGGGUGAUGAGUCACACUGGAACUGAGACACGGUCCAGACUCCUACGGGAGGCAGCAGUAGGGAAUAUUGGACAAUGGGCGAAAGUCUGAUCCAGCAAUGCCGCGUGUGUGAAGAAGGUCUUCGGAUUGUAAAGCUCUUUAAGUUGGGAGGCGUUACCAACAGAGAAAGCACCGGCUAACUUCGUGCCAGCAGCCGCGGUAAUAC